AAAUUCGAGGACGAAUUUUUUCACGUUGGGGAGAGUUGAUGCAAUUCAGAAGAACAAGAAAGCCAGCAACAAACUAGACCAUCAAACUGUACCAAGAAUUGACUAUAUGUGUAAUUUUGAGUGUCCAACGGGUUGUAUGGGCCGUCGGCUUUAUAUUUUUGGGUUUACUUUUGUAAUGGGCCAAUUCUAUAGCCCAAAUGCUAGGGAUUUAAAUCCUAUACGGGAUUAAGUAGUUAUUUUUUCUGUUUCUUAGUCAUUAAGAAUAUUAGGUUUCUACACUUUGAGUUUCUAUUUUCUAGUAACUUUUAUUUAGUUGCUAUUUUGUAAUUCUCUCCAUUAACCAAGGAGAGUUUCUAUUUUUGUAACAAGGCAAUUUAUAAAUAAAGAAGGAGGCAAUUCCUAGC